rnacentral:rRNA from 1 species
UACGUAGGGGGGCAAGCGUUGUCCGGAAUCAUUGGGCGUAAAGCGCGUGUAGGCGGCUUCGAAAGUCUGGUGUGAAAUCUUGGGGCUCAACCCCAAGCGGUCACUGGAUACUUCGAGGCUUGAGUCCGGAAGAGGAGAGUGGAAUUCAUGGUGUAGCAGUGAAAUGCGUAGAGAUCAUGAGGAAGACCAGUGGCGAAGGCGGGUCUCUGGACAGUUCCUGACACUGAGGCACGAAGGCCAGGGGAGCAAACGGG